ACAGCCCAGAUUUGAAAUCUGGCCCUCGGGCCCGAGUUGUAAUCUGCAGAUGAGUCUUUUGGCAGAGCGCGGUCCAAGUUCCCUGGAAUGGGACGCCACAGAGGGUGAGAGCCCCGUACGGACAUGUGCCGAGCCGUUGUAAAGCUCAUUCGACGAGUCGAGUAGUUUGGAAAUGCUGCUCUAAUCGUGGGGUAAAUCUCCCAUAAGGCUAAAUACCGGCCAGAGACCGAUA
rnacentral:rRNA from 1 species